rnacentral:rRNA from 1 species
GACGAACGCUGGCGGCGUGCUUAACACAUGCAAGUCGAACGGUAAGGCCCUUCGGGGUACACGAGUGGCGAACGGGUGAGUAACACGUGGGUGAUCUGCCCUGCACUUCGGGAUAAGCCUGGGAAACUGGGUUUAAUACCGGAUAGGACCACUGCCUGCAUGGGUGGUGGUGGAAAGCUUUUGCGGUGUGGGAUGGGCCCGCGGCCUAUCAGCUUGUUGGUGGGGUGAUGGCCUACCAAGGCGCAGACGGGUAGCCGGCCUGAGGGGGUGACCGGCCACACUGGGACUGAGAGACGGCCCAGACUCCUACGGGAGGCAGCAGUGGGGAAUAUUGCACAAUGGGCGCAAGCCUGGUGCAGCGACGCCGCGUGAGGGAUGACGGCCUUCGGGUUGUAAACCUCUUUCAGCACCGACGAAGCGCAAGUGACGGUAGGUGCAGAAGAAGGACCGGCCAACUACGAGCCAGCCGCCGCAGUAA